rnacentral:rRNA from 1 species
UACGUAGGGUGCGAGCGUUAAUCGGAAUUACUGGGCGUAAAGCGUGCGCAGGCGGUUCGUUGUGUCGGUGGUGAAAGCCCCGGGCUUAACCUGGGAAUGGCCAUGGAAACUGGCGGACUGGAGUGUGGCAGAGGGGGGUGGAAUUCCGCGUGUAGCAGUGAAAUGCGUAGAGAUGCGGAGGAACACCGAUGGCGAAGGCAGCCCCCUGGGCUAGCACUGACGAUCAGGCACGAAAGCGUGGGGAGCAAACAGG